rnacentral:rRNA from 1 species
UGCCGCGUGUGUGAAGAAGGUCUUCGGAUUGUAAAGCACUUUAAGUUGGGAGGAAGGGCAGUUACCUAAUACGUAUCUGUUUUGACGUUACCGACAGAAUAAGCACCGGCUAACUCUGUGCCAGCAGCCGCGGUAAUACAGAGGGUGCAAGCGUUAAUCGGAAUUACUGGGCGUAAAGCGCGCGUAGGUGGUUUGUUAAGUUGGAUGUGAAAUCCCCGGGCUCAACCUGGGAACUGCAUUCAAAACUGACAAGCUAGAGUAUGGUAGAGGGUGGUGGAAUUUCCUGUGUAGCGGUGAAAUGCGUAGAUAUAGGAAGGAACACCAGUGGCGAAGGCGACCACCUGGACUGAUACUGACACUGAGGUGCGAAAGCGUGGGGAGCAAACAGGAUUAGAUA